rnacentral:ncRNA from 1 species
UAAAAGGUUAUGAGGGAGAGGAGUACACAAUUACUCUUGGCAGAGAGAAUCGUCCGGGGCUGAAAGGCGAUUUCAAGAAAGGGCUGUGGAAGGUAGCUUCUGAACCGGAUAUCUGAACAGGAAGUAGGGUAUCCCGGAGUUGUUCACGUUACAGGACUCAAGAAGAUAUAUGCGUACGCAUAUAAUGAAGGUGGUACCGCGGAACAUUCGCCCUUUGC